ACAGUUCUGAAGCCCUGAGUCACGGUGCCACCUCCCUGUGGCCUGUUGCGGGGCAGCCGGGUGACAGCUGAUGUUUGUCUCAGUAGGCAGCAAGUGCUGGGUCAUGUCUGCGCUUGGACACGCCUUUUCUGGGGUGGCUUAGUUAGUCAGACCAUCCCCCCAGGGCAUCGGGUGGGGGCUGGGCAGGGCUGCACCCAGGCAGGGGCUGGCUCUGGUGCUGUCCUUUAAGACCCCCUUCCCCAACCCCAGGGCGUCAGUUGCUUCAUGGCCUCGCUCUGGGCCACAGCUUUAGAGUGAGCCUUCUGCCCUUGGACCAGUCCCUGAGCCUCAGCCCUUUUCCUCGAGCAGGGAUAUCACAUGCUGGGCUCAGGCCUGGCGUCCUGCACCUGACCUGCUGACUGCGGUUUUGCUGCUGCUGUUUGGGCUCAGAACUUUCUUCCAUGAGGCAGAUGUGACGUGAUGGCAGCUAUAAGGGGUGUCUACAGCUGGUAGCACUUUGGAAAUGCUUUCUCAAACUUGCUUGUUAAUCCUCUGGGCAACCUUUUUGGGCAAAUGUUCAUUAGUUGGCUGCUGUCCACGGUAAACACAACUCAGACUGAGGGGCAAGUGGUGUUCCCAAGGUCACUCAGAGCCAGGGCCAGGUCCCAGUGCCUCCGUUCCACCCGGGCCACUGUCUUAGGAUCCUGCCUGCUUUGGGUGACCUGUCUGGUGAGGUGGAGGCACAGCAGAGCCUCUGUCCCCUCCUCUCCAGGAUCCUAGUGCCCCCGUGUGGUGGCUGGGCUGCCCUGGCGCCCCCCCCCCACCUUAUCUGGCCUUUGACCCUUAGCCCCAGUCCUGUGCCUUCAUGUUACUGGCAUGUCCACAGACUGCAGGCCACUCAGACGGGGCUACUGCCAUGGCCUGCUCUGAUGUGUGGUGACAGCAGCCUUCCCUGAAUGAAGGGAACAGGCUGUCAGUUCUACCCCAGCUGCCCAGCCCCUGAACUGUUGUUAUUGCCUCAUGCUUUGUGAUCUCAUUUUGUGGGCUUUUUGAUCAUUUCACUGUGGAUGUAACUGUGUGUGGUGUCUUGGGGUCUCAUUCCCGUGCCUGGCUUCUGCAUCAGAGGGUGAGCUCUCUGUAGGCGCCCCUGGUGCCUGCCCACAGACGAAGCGUGCCUGUUACUGCUGAGGACUUAUGUGGAGAAACGAAGGGCCUCCAGAGCAUGUUUGGAAAUAAAGGGCCCAUGGCAUGGAGGCUGGGGGGGCUUUUAGAAGUGGUGCCACACUGGUCAUUGACGCUCCAGGUAUGCAGGAACUGGGCCCAUCCUUUGGCAACAUGUCAAUGUGUGAGGGCACCACCAUGGAAUCUGGCAUUGUUGGUCCAGACCAUGGGGUUGGGUGAUGGGCUUCGUGAAAACAGGGCCGCCCCAGGUCACCAAGCUGUCUUUCCAGGUUAUCGUUGCAGCUUUUUUUUUUUUUUCUUGUUUAACUUUCUUCUUUAGAUUUGCAAAAAUGAUACAUGUGCAUUUAGAAGUAAAAAAGGCUGUCCACCAUCUCUUGGUGGUUACGGACACUCAGGGUAAUCCUGGUGGGAAUACUCCGUUGUCCUUUAUUAAGUAUGGGGGCAGCAGGGGUCACCGUGAGGCCGGGCUGGCCCCUGGCUUGUGGGGAAGCCAGGAAGGGCUAAUGUAGAGGGGCUGCCCUGUGUCCAGGGCUUUCUCUAAUGCUCAUUUUUCCCUUCAUUUGUGUUGCUCCUUUGAACUGCAGGAACAGUGACACUUGGUGUGGAGUUGAAUUAGUGCUCCCAAAAUAUCGUGGAGAUGUCAGAAGAGAGUAUCCCUGUAGAGAAUUUGUCAUGACUGGUGACCCUGUGUGAACAAAGCUGCUCUCAGGGACCCAUGUGCAUCAUCUUCUUUAAAUUCGAUCCUCGCCCUGUUUCUAAAAAUGCAUACAGGUGUCUUUCGAUGGCCGUGCCAUAGGCUUCCCAAGCCAUGUCAGCCCAUCUCCGUUGGGUGGUGGAGUAUGUCUUCACAGUAUGUCAUCGUUGUGCACUGUCCGGACCAAGUUCUCUCCCACCAAAGCAGACAAGCCAGGUGCCAGGACCACCAUCCACUUGGACUGUGCUGCCCACCAAGCUGGCCCACAUGGCUGGGACCCAUCGAAGACCCUGUGCUCCGUUUGCUCUCUUAGACACCUUCAAUGUCAUCACACGUGCAGUGGCCUCUUGGCACUUGGGGACAGCAGCCUCCAGAGAUCCUGUGCUCUGCUGCUCCUCCAAGUGUCCCCAGGGCCCUUCCGGUGGGCGUGCUCCCAUUUCCAGGAAGUCCCGGGCUCAGGCUCAUUGGGGAUGGCCUCAGGGAAAGGGACAGAUGGACCGAACGGGUACUUCUCUGCCACCGGGACACCUGGGACAUGCUUGGUGCCAGCUGCUCAGGGCCCUCAUCUGUGCAGGUCCUGCUGCCCUUUCUGGGCUCAUCCUGGCGGCCAACAGGGAUGAAUUUUACCACAGACCAUCCAAGUUAGCUGACUUCUGGGGGAACAACAAUGAGGUCCUCAGUGGGCUUGACAUGGAGGAAGGCAAGGAAGGAGGCACAUGGCUGGGCAUCAGCACACGGGGGAAGCUGGCCGCACUCACCAACUACCUGCAGCCACGGCAGGACAGGGAUGCCCGGGGCCGAGGUGAACUUGUGACCCACUUUCUGACUACAGACAUGGACAGCUUGUCCUACUUGAAGAAGGUCUCUGCGGAGGGCCACCUGUACAACGGCUUUAACCUCAUAGCAGCUGACCUGAGCACAGAGAAGGGAGAUGUCAUUUGUUACUAUGGAAACCGGGGGGAGCCCGAGCCAAUCGUCCUGGCACCAGGGACCUAUGGACUAAGCAAUGCACUGCUGGAGACACCCUGGAGGAAGCUGUGCUUUGGAAAGCAGCUCUUCCUGGAGGCCGUGGAGCGGAGCCAGGCACUCCCCAAGGAUGUCCUCAUUGCCGAGCUCCUGCAUGUGCUCAACAAUGACGAGGCGCAGCUGCCAGACCCAGCCAUUGAGGACCAGGGCAGGGAGUACGUGCAGCCCUUUCUGAGCAAGUAUGCAGCUGUGUGUGUGCGCUGCCCAGGCUAUGGCACCAGCCUGGGGACAUCGCCUAAGAGAAGGGCAACUUCUGGUCUUAGCCACAAGGGAAGAAUGCCUGGGAAAGAGAAGCUGUUGGCAUGGGUGUCUGCUGUCCCUUCCCUGUCUCUCACCCUCCCAGGCAGAGGAAGAUUGGCUCUGUGUGUCUGGGAGGCCCAUCCCAUCCUGUGAUUCUGUCUGGGGCAGCCUACCUGCUGUACUUGGUGGUGGGUGGGCUGCUGGACCAGCCAGGAUGCACCUGGCACACUUGGCCUGGAGACAGAUUGUGGCCUCGUGCAAAGCAACAUCUGCCUGGAUUCGGCUUGCACCAGGCCCCAUGGGCACCAGCCUUGUGUCAGAACCAACACGGUCAUCCUCGUGGACACGGACGGGCACGUGACCUUCACAGAGCGUAGCAUGCUGGACAAGGACCCCUCCUGCUGGGAGACCAGCACCCACGAGUUCAAGCUGCAGAGCUAACCCCUCUCCCUGGGUGUGGCCAUUGGGCUCCUGGAAGGCCCUGCCUCGAGGACCAGUGUGGAUAGAAACCUUCCGUAGCCACAUGCACUGCCUGUGACUUGGCCAGCAUCCCCCAGGACCAGGGCCCUCUGGUGUUUCUGUGACCUGUCUGUGUCUGUGUGUCCAGCUCAGGGUCUGCCCUUAUGCCAGAGGGAGUGACACAGUCCUGCAGCCAGGCCUGGGGCAGGCCCAGGUAUGCUGUGUGUGUGUGAAGGCACCUGGGCCUGCCCCCUGUCCAAGCACAGAGGCACAUUCAAGGCACAUGUUUCCAUGCACACCUGCAGGUGCACGGGCACACGCACACAUGCACACACACGUACAGGCAACAGAUAGGCACUCACACGCUCAAAUGUACACACAGUCCCCGGCAUACACACGUAUGCAUGCCAGACAUGUGGCAGAGAUGUGCCUCUCACAUCUGCAUGUGCUUCUGGCCAGUGGGUCUUUGCUUUGAUCCAAACAACAGGGUGUAGACUUUUGUUUAAAAGUGGCUCCCUUUCUCCUGGGCGUAGUCCACUUCUGGACAAUUAGACUUGCUCUUGGAGAGGAGAGGCCCCAUUUGGAAUGAGAAAUGAGAACAACCCAAGAAAAACCCACUGUCAUAACAGAAGCACAAGCUGGUUGGUGGUUCUUUGUGCUCUGCGGAGGCAGGGGGGGGUCUCCUGUGUGCAUGGGGUGGUCCUGCAUGAUGCACCAGGGGUCCUGUGUAUGCUGGGGCACCUUGGUAGGCUCUCAGGCACCUACCUGCCCUUUGGGGGGUCAUGGGUAGGCCCUCUCAGUGAAGGGACACAGCCAACACUUGCUAUUUCCCUUCUCCUUGGGGAGUCAGACUUCACAGGAAUCUGUACUUGAAUGUGAGACCUUGUUAAUAAAACUCUGAGGCUGUGGUGAGUCA